AAAAAACUCCUAUGUUUAAAAGAUGCGGAAAGAGUUACAACCUAAAAGGAGUGUGAAAACUAGCACCAUAUGUAGGAAAGAGCUACCACCCCGGUCGUCCAGCAAGUGUGUGAAGCUACCGUAUGAAGAUUGAAUUGAUUAACCGAAAAAGGUUUUAAAAAAUUGAAUAUUUUAGAAUUUUCGGAGUAAUAAGGUGUUAGUUUGAAAAAGAUG
rnacentral:lncRNA from 1 species